GGUGGGAUAGUCUAGUGGUAAGAUCAUCUGGUAGCAUCAUAUGCUAGGGCAUAUGAAGGUCAUGGGUUCGAUUCCCACAGCCAUCA